GAAGGUGUGCUGUGAGGUAUGCUGGAGGUAUCAGAAGUGCGAAUGCUGACAUAAGUAACGAUAAAGCGGGUGAAAAGCCCGCUCGCCGGAAGACCAAGGGUUCCUGUCCAACGUUAAUCGGGGCAGGGUGAGUCGACCCCUAAGGCGAGGCCGAAAGGCGUAGUCGAUGGGAAACAGGUUAAUAUUCCUGUACUUGGUGUUACUGCGAAGGGGGGACGGAGAAGGCUAUGUUGGCCGGGCGACGGUUGUCCCGGUUUAAGCGUAUAGGCUGGUUUUCCAGGCAA
rnacentral:rRNA from 1 species